GUUAUUGGGUAUCAAAACCUAAUAGCGAAAUUAACAUAACUUAUAUGGGAUUAGUUUUUAGAUUAUUUAUAGUCUAUUAAUUCAAUCCCGGGGCGUUCUAUUUGGUUAUGUAUAAUAAUAUUUAUAUUAUUUAUACCUCUAACUAGAGCGUACCUUGAGCAUAUAUGCUGUGACCCGAAAGAUGGUGAACUAUACUUGAUCAGGUUGAAGUCAGGGGAAACCCUGAUGGAAGACCGAAACAGUUCUGACGUGCAAAUCGAUUGUCAGAAUUGAGUAUAGGGGCGAAAGACCAAUCGAACCAUCUAGUAGCUGGUUCCCUCCGAAGUUUCCCUCAGGAUAGCUGGUGCAUUUAGAAAUUAUGUAAAAUAAUCUUAUCUGGUAAAGCGAAUGAUUAGAGGCCUUAGGGUCGAAACGACCUUAACCUAUUCUCAAACUUUAAAUGGGUAAGAACCUCACCUUUCUUGGUAUGAAGGUUGUGGUUGUGAUAUAAUGUGCCCAGUGGGCCACUUUUGGUAAGCAGAACUGGCGCUGUGGGAUGAACCAAACGUAAUGUUACGGUGCCCAAAUUAACAACUCAUGCAGAUACCAUGAAAGGCGUUGGUUGCUUAAAACAGCAGGACGGUGGACAUGGAAGUCGUAAUCCG
rnacentral:rRNA from 1 species